rnacentral:lncRNA from 1 species
GGCUUCUACUGCGAAGGACCUGGCCUCAGUGCCCCAACUGGGGAGUGCUGGGAAGGCUAUUACUGUGACAGCCAGCAAGGGCCAGUUAUUGAUGUUACCCUUUACCCGUGCCCACAAGGUUUUUACUGCCCACCAGGGACGAGCAGGAGCACUCAGUACAGCUGCCCUGCAGGAACCUUUGGACCAAGGCAAAAACUGAAAACUCAGGACGAAUGUCAGAGAUGCCCACCAGGAAAAUACUGUGAAUUCUCCGGACUUGCUGCCCCCACAGGAGACUGUGCUGAGGGAUUCUGGUGCAAAAGUGGUGCCCGAGUAAGAAACCCCCAAGAUGGAGAAUCAGGACUUCCUUGUCCUCCUGGUCAUUAUUGUCCUGAAGGCACUCUGCUUCCGUUGCAGUGCCCUCCUGGCACGUGGUCUGGCAGUGAAGGUAGAAGGAGUGUGCAGGAAUGCCAGCCGUGUCCUGGGGGGUAUUACUGCAACAGCUCUGGGCAGAGGGCCCCCUCAGGACACUGCAGCCCAGGGUACUAUUGUGUCACUAGAGCCCAGACCCCAGCACCCACUGAUGGCCUCUCAGGAGCUCCAUGUCCAGUCAGUCACUUUUGUCCUCUUGGAUCCGGGAGUCCAGCCCCGUGCCCCCCAGGCUCCCACAUGCCGCACACCCACGGAGAGCAGUGCUAUCCUUGCCCGGUGGGUGAAUUCUGUGUCUCUGGUGAGAAGCCACAGCCAUGUCCCCAGGGUGAGUUAUGGUUCCCACUUAAAUGUCUAGUUUGUCUUCGAUUUUCUAGAACAGAUUGUG